rnacentral:rRNA from 1 species
UACGUAGGGGGCUAGCGUUGUCCGGAAUCAUUGGGCGUAAAGCGCGUAUAGGCGGCCCGGUAAGUCCGCUGUGAAAGUCCAGGCUCAACCCUGGGAUGCCGGUGGAUACUGUCGGGCUCGAGUCCGGAAGAGGCGAGUGGAAUUCCUGGUGUAGCGGUGAAAUGCGCAGAUAUCAGGAGGAACACCAAUGGCGAAGGCAGCU